rnacentral:sRNA from 1 species
GCCAGGCAUGGUGAUGUAUGCCUGUAAUCCCAGCGACUCAAGAGGCUAAGGCAGGAGGAUUACAAGUUUAAGGUCAUCCUCAACAACUUAGCGAGGUCCUAGGCAACUUAGUAAGACCCUGCCUCAA